rnacentral:rRNA from 1 species
GGAUCGGGGUGCGUAACAUUAGCUUGUUGGUGAGGUAAAGGCUCACCAAGGCGAUGAUGUUUAGCGGGGUUGAGAGGCUGAUCCGCCACACUGGGACUGAGAUACGGCCCAGACUCCUACGGGAGGCAGCAGUAGGGAUUUUUCCACAAUGGACGAACGUCUGAUGGAGCGACCCAGCGUGCAGGAUGACGGCCUUCGGGUUGUAAACUGCUGUUAUAAGGGAAGAAAAAAUCAUAGAGGAAAUGCUAUGAUCUUGACGGUACCUUGUCAGAAAGCAACGGCUAACUAUGUGCCAGCAGCCGCGGUAAUACAUAGGUUGCAAGCGUUAUCCGGAAUUAUUGGGCGUAAAGCGGCUGUAGGUUGUUUGUUAAGUCUGGGGUGAAAACUUGGGGCUCAACCCCAAAUUGCAUUGGAUACUGGCAAACUAGAG